rnacentral:rRNA from 1 species
GGUGGAACGCUAGCGACAGGCUUAACACAUGCAAGUCGAGGGGCGAGCGAUAGGUGGCAACACCGAGUCGGCGACCGGCGCACGGGUGAGUAACGCGUAUGCAACCUGCCCAUCAGCGGGGGGAGUAACCCGUCGAAAGACGGACUAAUACCGCAUAAAACAGGGGUUCCGCAUGGAAAUAUUUGUUAAGAUUAUUGCUGAUGGAUGGGCAUGCGUUCUAUUAGGCAGUUGGUGGGGUAACGGCCCACCAAACCGACGAUAGAUAGGGGUUCUGAGAGGAAGGUCCCCCACCAUUGGUACUGAGACACGGACCAAACUCCUACGGGAGGCAGCAGUGAGGAAUAUUGGUCAAUGGGCGAG